CGUAGGUCCCGAGCGUUAUCCGGAUUUAUUGGGGCGUAAAGCGAGCGCAGGCGGUUAGAUAAGUCUGAAGUUAAAGGCUGUGGCUUAACCAUAGUACGCUUUGGAAACUGUUUAACUUGAGUGCAGAAGGGGGAGAGUGGAAUUCCAUGUGUAGCGGUGAAAAUGCGUAGAUAUAUGGAGGAACACCGGUGGCGAAAAGCGGCUCUCUGGGUCUGUAAACUGACGCUGAGGCUCGAAAAGCGUGGGGAGCAAACAGGAUU
rnacentral:rRNA from 1 species